ACGCACGCUGGCGGCAGGCCUCACACCUGCCAGUCGCACGAAGUCUUCGGACUUAGUGGCGCACGGGUGAGUAACACGUGGGAAUAUACCUUACGCUGGGGGAUAACAUCGGGAAACUGAUGCUAAUACCGCAUACGCCCUUCGGGGGAAAGAUUUAUCGGCGAAAGAUUAGCCCGCGUCCGAUUAGCUAGUUGGUGAGGUAAUGGCUCACCAAGGCUCCGAUCGGUAGCUGGUCUGAGAGGAUGACCAGCCACACUGGGACUGAGACACGGCCCAGACUCCUACGGGAGGCAGCAGUGGGGAAUAUUGGACAAUGGGCGCAAGCCUGAUCCAGCCAUGCCGCGUGAGUGAUGAAGGCCUUAGGGUUGUAAAGCUCUUUCACCCACGACGAUGAUGACGGUAGUGGGAGAAGAAGCCCCGGCUAACUUCGUG
rnacentral:rRNA from 1 species